GUCCGUCGCCGCAGUUUUUUGACUGUGGAGGAAAGUCCGGGCAGCGCAGAGCGCCUCCCUGUGGAAAGCACAGACAGGCGUAAGUUUGUGAGGGGCGUAACAGAAAACAACCGCCCGCGGGUUCGCCCGCAGGUAAGGGUGAAAACGUGAGGCAAGAGCUCACGGCCGGUGACGGCGACAUUACCGGCGUACGCUUCGGAGGGCUGCAAGGCCAAAUAUACCGGCAGAUGAGGGCUGCUCGCCCGAUGCCGGGGGGUAGGCUGCGAUAGAUAAAUGACGGGCGCCGCGCGACAAGGUUGCAACUUAAAAUGCGGUCCGCGGAGACAGAACUCGGCUUAUCGUCCCACCUU
rnacentral:RNase_P_RNA from 1 species